rnacentral:rRNA from 1 species
UACCAGCACCCCGAGUGGUCGGGACGUUUAUUGGGCCUAAAGCAUCCGUAGCCGGUUCUACAAGUCUUCCGUUAAAUCCAACCGCUUAACAGAUGGGCUGCGGAAGAUACUAUAGAGCUAGGAGGCGGGAGAGGCAAGCGGUACUCGAUGGGUAGGGGUAAAAUCCGUUGAUCCAUUGAAGACCACCAGUGGCGAAGGCGGCUUGCCAGAACGCGCUCGACGGUGAGGGAUGAAAGCUGGGGGAGCAAACCGG